rnacentral:rRNA from 1 species
AUUGAACGCUGGCGGCAUGCCUUACACAUGCAAGUCGAACGGCAGCACGGGAGCAAUCCUGGUGGCGAGUGGCGAACGGGUGAGUAAAGUAUCGGGACGUGCCCAGUCGUGGGGGAUAACGUAGCGAAAGUUACGCUAAUAUCGCAUACGAUCUAUGGAUGAAAGCGGGGGAUCGCAAGACCUCGCGCGAUUGGAGCGGCCGAUAUCAGAUUAGGUAGUUGGUGGGGUAAAGGCUCACCAAGCCGACGAUCUGUAGCUGGUCUGAGAGGACGACCAGCCACACUGGGACUGAGACACGGCCCAGACUCCUACGGGAGGCAGCAGUGGGGAAUUUUGGACAAUGGGCGCAAGCCUGAUCCAGCCAUGCCGCGUGCAGGAUGAAGGCCUUCGGGUUGUAAACUGCUUUUGUACGGAACGAAAAGGUUUGGCUUAAUACGUUGAACUCAUGACGGUACCGUAAGAAUAAGCACCGGCUAACUACGUGCCAGCCGCCGCCGUAA